AUGAUAAAUCUACGUGCACUGCUGAGUGCUGGUUGGCAUUCCUUUUCGAACUCGAAGCGGUUGUCGACGGUCGUGUUCUGUGCUACGGUGUUACGGUGCUACUGUGCUACAGUGCUACAGUAGCUACGUACGGUACACCCGCUGCUGCCCGUUUUUCGGUUCUGCGAUGGCUGCUGGCUGUUCCCCUUCUUCACUGGCAUCAAAAUCGAUGGCAUGGGAGUACAAAUGAACGAUCGGAUUCGCUGACUUUUUGGUACAACAAAUCAAAGAUCGUUUCAAUCAAUAAUUAUGACGCAGACGUGAUCCUCAACCCCUUCGAAACGAAAUUUAUGGCAUUUAUGCUGGCGUAAAAUCGAACAAAGAAACAAGAAAAAACCAUGACUGUGGAGAAAAUUACUAAAUCUGUGAAGAUUAGCAGUUGUCCAUGAAUUGUAUUUUGUUAAUUUGUUGUUUGAGUAAGAAUCCUUUCUGAUGCACGAAACUUUUGCUGUUUUCUAUCUCUCAAUUUCUUAAGUGCUUUGUUGCUGUAGUGUUUUAAAAGCUAAUUGUGACGAAGAUAUGUUACCAGGCCCUCAAAUGAAAUAACUGUGUAAUUAUUUUAAUUCUUUGGAGUUUAGAUCAGAAAUCGUUAACAUUUUUUAUGAAUCAACAUACUUUUUUAGGAAUUUUUAUUCUUAAGAAAUUUUCAGAUGAUGUUUGUCUAAACGAGCACCAUGGACCAAUAACGGCUAACAGGAAUAUUGUGUUGGAAAAUUUUAAUAUUUGAUUCAGAAUAAACAGGGAGCUUUGAGGGUGGCCCGCAAUUAUGUCUUAAAACAGCAUCACAAGUGAACAAAGAUUGAACAAAGUGCUUUAAAAUGAACAUUACAGCUCUAAGAAUGACCUUAGAAAAUAUUUAAAAAAAGCCCCUUUAAGUCGACAAGGGCUAAGAGUGUACGACUAGAAAAUUUUAAAAUUUGUUGGAGAACUUUAAAAUUUGAUUCUGACUAAAUAGGAGAACUUUUAGGAAUAACCCAUGAAAUUAUGUCAACGAGGAUUAAUAAUUGGUGGGGGCAGGCAGAAGCAUGUUGUUGUCAAGCUUUAAAGUAGAAUUCAGAAUAAUAAGCAGAGCUUUUAGAUAAGCCUGCAAAGUAUUUCAACGAUUCAUCAAGAGAUAAAAAAAGAUGGACACUUAAAAACAUUGCAAUUAGAAUAAACAGGAGAAAUGAAGAGGGUAACACGUGAAAAUAUUUAAACGAGGACCAUGAAUAGACCGGGGCUUGCAAAAUGUUUUUAAACAACUUUCAACCCUGCCUCUACAUGACAAAUGUAAUGUAUCAAAUUGAAAGAAUGCACAUUUCGAUUAACAGAAGACUAGCUCCCCUACGAAGCCCGCUACGCGGGCUUGCCAGUGGCCCUACGGUUGAAUAUUAAGAUUAGCCUUGGAAAGACAAGAGUGGCCCUACAGUUGAAUAUUGAGAUUAGCCUUGGAAAGACAAGAGUGCCAUAAACCUCGAUUCCAAAAUGAGAAGAGGUCACGUGAUAAAAAAAUUGCUUGCACUCCUGUGCGAAUUAAAUUCACACUUUUGUGACUAUCGCUAGGAAGGGGGGAGCCUCAACCCCAUCUUUCUUUUAAGGCUCCCCCCUUCCUAGCGAUAGUCACAAAAGUGUGAAUUUAAUUCGCACAGGAGUGCAAGCAAUUUUUUUAUCACGUGACCUCUUCUCAUUUUGGAAUCGAGGUUUAUGGCACUCUUGUCUUUCCAAGGCUAAUCUCAAUAUUCAA